GGCCUCUCAGCUAGGGCUAUUGACGGCAUUGUGGUUGGAGUCCUGGCUGGGGCAGCUCUGAUAGCUCCGGUGUCCUUUCUGUACAUCUGAAAGACUGGAGGGUCAGGGCCACUCUGACAACUCCCCUAACAAGGUCGAUGAAGUUGCAUAUUCUUCCCUGAACUUCAAUGCCCAGGAAUCAAAGAAACUAACUUCAGCCUCCCCAUCCUCAUCAGCCACAGAAGUAGUUU